rnacentral:rRNA from 1 species
GGCUCAGGCGUAACGAGGUAGAGGUAGNGUCUUUGACGGUAGCGGCGGACGGGUGAGUAACACGUGGGUAACCUACCUAUAAGACUGGAAUAACUCCGGGAAACCGGGGCUAAUGCCGGAUAACAUUUAGAACCGCAUGGUUCUAAAGUGAAAGAUGGUUUUGCUAUCACUUAUAGAUGGACCCGCGCCGUAUUAGCUAGUUGGUAAGGUAACGGCUUACCAAGGCAACGAUACGUAGCCGACCUGAGAGGGUGAUCGGCCACACUGGAACUGAGACACGGUCCAGACUCCUACGGGAGGCAGCAGUAGGGAAUCUUCCGCAAUGGGCGAAAGCCUGACGGAGCAACGCCGCGUGAGUGAUGAAGGUCUUCGGAUCGUAAAACUCUGUUAUUAGGGAAGAACAAAUGUGUAAGUAACUGUGCACGUCUUGACGGUACCUAAUCAGAAAGCCACGGCUAACUACGUGCCAGCAGCCGCGGUAAUACGUAGGUGGCAAGCGUUAUCCGGAAUUAUUGGGCGUAAAGCGCGCGUAGGCGGUUUCUUAAGUCUGAUGUGAAAGCCCACGGCUCAACCGUGGAGGGUCAUUGGAAACUGGGAAACUUGAGUGCAGAAGAGGAAAGUGGAAUUCCAUGUGUAGCGGUGAAAUGCGCAGAGAUAUGGAGGAACACCAGUGGCGAAGGCGACUUUCUGGUCUGUAACUGACGCUGAUGUGCGAAAGCGUGGGGAUCAAACAGGAUUAGAUACCCUGGUAGUCCACGCCGUAAACGAUGAGUGCUAAGUGUUAGGGGGUUUCCGCCCCUUAGUGCUGCAGCUAACGCAUUAAGCACUCCGCCUGGGGAGUACGACCGCAAGGUUGAAACUCNAAGGAAUUGACGGGGACCCGCACNAGCGGUGGAGCAUGUGGUUUAAUUCGAAGCAACGCGAAGAANCUUACCAAUCUUGACAUCCUUUGANCAACUCUAGAAGAUANANCCCUUCCC